rnacentral:lncRNA from 1 species
CAAAAAUAUAUUUUAAGUGCCUGUUACUAAAAACAUAGUAACACGCACAGGAUUCUUUUUUGUCAUAAGCCAAUUCUCAAAAGAGUUCCUAGUAAUGGAAUAUAAAAAUAAGAUGUUUUUUUCAGGGUAUUUCAUAUUUUCAGAGUUUAAAGUUACUGCUACCCUAAUUUUAAGGAAAGAUUGGGGAGAGAAACUGGAAGAACAAGCCACGUACUCAAAAGUACUCCAUAAGUUAACCUCAAACCUUAAUUCUUGGAACAUCACUCCCUCCCUGUCCAGUCUCGAGAUAAUAUGCCUACGUUAGAUUUGCUUUGAUAUUCA